rnacentral:rRNA from 1 species
CCUACGGGGGGCAGCAGUGAGGAAUAUUGGUCAAUGGGCGAGAGCCUGAACCAGCCAAGUCGCGUGAAGGAUGAAGGAUCUAUGGUUUGUAAACUUCUGUUAUAUGGGAAUAAAGUGAGGAACGUGUGCCUUUUUGUAUGUACCAUAUGAAUAAGCAUCGGCUAACUCCGUGCCAGCAGCCGCGGUAAUACGGAGGAUGCGAGCGUUAUCCGGAUUUAUUGGGUUUAAAGGGUGCGUAGGGGGUUAAUUAAGUCAGCGGUGAAAGUUUGUGGCUCAACCAUAAAAUUGCCGUUGAAACGGGUUGACUUUAGUAUAUUUGCGGUCGUCGGCCUGCGUGGUGUAGCGG